AUGGUGAGUGCAGAUGCUGAAGUAAAUAUGGUCAAGGAAGUUGUGCUUCAAACUGAUAUGCCAACUGUAGUGAGCGGAGAUCCAACCACCAUCUCAGGAGUUCAACAGAUUAAGAGGAAGACUCCCCUUUCAACAGUCCCACAAAAACCACCUAAGCAGCAAAAGAUUGUCAAGUUUGCCAGGGGCACAAAGGGGGAACAUGCCACAAAAGGGGUGCCAAGUUCUGCUAGGUUGCUGCCAACUCAGACUAGAAAGAUGCCAACUACAGAUACCAGUGUGCCAACUGAUGUGUGUCAGCUAGCAGCGUGGUCACAGUCAAAACCACCACAACUGCUCAGGAAGGCACCACUGCAACUGCAAGCCCCAAGGUGCCUACUCAUAGAGAUGCUUCAAUGCCAAACACAAAAGGAGGUGAUCCUACUACCAAAUUGCCAUCCCCAAGAGCCAGCACACAACAGCCAAGCAAGCCUGCAUCACCAAGAGCUGACUUUCAGCUACCACUAG
rnacentral:rRNA from 1 species